rnacentral:sRNA from 1 species
GCCGCCGCCGGACGGCGAGGGCCACGAGGUGCUGGGGAGCGCCGAUGAGGGGCCGGAGCCGAGUCCAGACCCGUCAAGGCAAGGGAAUUCGGGUCGGACGCCCGGCGAGGGGG